rfam:Ictidomys tridecemlineatus contig070544, whole genome shotgun sequence.
GGGGUACUGGCUCAGUGGUAGAGCGCUUGCCUAGCAUGCGUGAGGUCCUGGGUUCAAUCCCCGGCACCACA